GUUGUUCGGAGUUACUGGGCGUAAAGGGUGUGUAGGCGGGUGGUUAAGUUUGGGGUGAAAUCUCCCGGCUCAACUGGGAGGGUGCGCCGAAUACUGAGGGACUAGAGUACGGGAGAGGAAAGUGGAAUUCCUGGUGUAGCGGUGAAAUGCGUAGAUAUCAGGAGGAACACCGGUGGUGUAGACGGCUUGCUGGACCGUAACUGACGCUGAAACACGAAAGCGUGGGUAGCAAACAGG
rnacentral:rRNA from 1 species